rnacentral:rRNA from 1 species
AAACUACGCCUAUAUGAAGUCGGAAUUGCUGUAAUCGCAGAUCAGCAUGCUGCGGUGAAUACGUUCCCGGGCCUUGUACACACCGCCCGUCACACCAUGAGAGUCGAUAACACCCGAAGCCUGUAGUCUAACCAUAAGGAGGACGCAGUCGAAGGUGGGAUUGAUAAUUAGGGUGAAGUCGUAACAAGGUAGC